UACGUAGGGUGCGAGCGUUGUCCGGAAUUAUUGGGCGUAAAGAGCUUGUAGGCGGUUUGUCGCGUCUGCUGUGAAAACUCGAGGCUCAACCUCGAGACGUCGGCGGAAACCAUCUGGCUAGAGUCCGGAAGAGGAGAGUGGAAUUCCUGGUGUAGCGGUGAAAUGCGCAGAUAUCAGGAAGAACACCCGGUGGCGAAGGCGGGUCUCU
rnacentral:rRNA from 1 species